rnacentral:rRNA from 1 species
UCAAAUUAUUAUGGGUUUAUGGGGGAUGCCUUGGCGUCAAAAGCCGAAGAAGGGCGUAGCAAGUCUGCGAUAAGCCUCGGUUUGCUGACUAGCAAGCUUAGCCGGGGAUACCCGAAUGGGAAAACCUGAUCAUAUGAUCAACCUUUUUAAGGUAGGUAAGCAGGAGAACUGAAACAUCUAAGUAUCCUGAGGAAAAUAAAUCAAACGAGAUUCCCUGAGUAGCGGCGAGCGAAAUGGGAUCAGCCUAAACCGUGUGGGAUUUAUCCUGUGCGGGGUUGUAGGGCACUUUAUAUAGAAGUUACAAAAUGACAUUUUAGUAGAAUAGAUUGGAAAGUCUAACCAUAGAGGGUGAAAGUCCCGUAAACGAAAAAAUGUCAUCUUCUAAAGUGUUCCUGAGUACGACGGGACACGUGAAAUCUUGUCGGAAUCUGGGGGGACCACCCUCCAAGGCUAAAUACUUUUGACGACCGAUAGUGAACUAGUACCGUGAGGGAAAGGUGAAAAGAACCCCGAGAGGGGAGUGAAAUAGAACUGAAACCAUAAACCUACAAACCGUGGGAGCUUGUAUUUAUAUGAGUGACCGCGUGCCUAUUGAAGAAUGAGCCAACGAGUUACUUGGUACGGCAAGAUUAAGAAGUUAAGCUUUGAAGUCGAAGCGAAAGCAAGUCUGAAUAGGGCGAAUUAGUCGUGUCAAGUAGACCCGAAACCGUGUGAGCUACCUAUGGCCAGGUUGAAGCGAGAGUAAAAUCUUGUGAAGGACCGAACCCGUGUACGCUGCAAAGUGCUGGGAUGAGCUGUGGGUAGAGGUAAAAUGCCAAACGAACACGGAGAUAGCUGGUUCUCUCCGAAAUGUAUUUAGGUACAGCGUUAUGUAAUACUUCAUGGAGGUAGAGCACUGGAUAGACUAGGGGGCGCAAGCUUACCAAACCUAACCAAACUCCGAAUACCAUGAAGGGUAUCAUAGCAGUGAGACUGUGGGGGAUAAGCUCCAUUGUCGAAAGGGAAACAGCCCAGAUCGCAAGUUAAGGUCCCUAAGUAUAUGCUAAGUGUUAAACGAAGUAGGGUCGCCCAGACAGCCAGGAGGUUGGCUUAGAAGCAGCCAUCCUUUAAAGAGUGCGUAAUAGCCCACUGGUCAAGGGGCCCCGCACGGAAAAUAAACGGGGCUAAGCAUAUCACCGAGACUGCGGGAUCUAUUUAUAGAUCGGUAGGAGAGUGUCGUUAAAGCAUUGAAGCUAAGCUGUAAGGCUUGGUGGAGUUUUAACAAGUAAGAAUGUUGGCAUGAGUAGCAAAAAUGCCGGUGAGAAUCCGGCAGGCCGUAAGUCUAAGGAUUCCUACGCAACGUUGAUCGGCGUAGGGUUAGUCGGUCCUAAGGCGUAUCCGAAAGGAAAAGUCGAUGGACAGCUGGUGAAUAUUCCAGCACCUAUAAUUAAUUGUUUGAGUCAAAGGGGUGACGCAGAAAGAUAAACAGAGCAUACGUAUUGGACAUCGUGUGUUUUUGCCUGUAGAUGAGUAGAGAAGGUUAAAAUAUUUUCUACGUUUGAAUUGAGGGGUGAGAAAACUAUGAGGUUCGCCUCGUAGAAUUCUGUCGACUCUAAACUGCCAAGAAAAGCCUCGUUGAUUAGAUUUUUCAUAGACCGUACCGCAAACCAACACAGGUAGACAGGGAUAAACGUCCCAAGGCCAUCGAGAGAACCAUCGUUAAGGAACUCGGCAAAUUGACCCCGUAACUUAGGGAGAAGGGGGACCUUUUGUGUAUAUGAGUUUACCUCAAAAAGCAUGGAAGGUAGCAUAAAAUAGGCUGAAGCGACUGUUUACCAAAAACACAGGUCCAUGCCAAAGCGAAAGCUGAUGUAUAUGGGCUGACGCCUGCCCAGUGCCGGUAGGUUAAGGAAAGUUGUGCAAGCAACUGACUGAAGCCCCGGUGAACGGCGGCCGUAACUAUAACGGUCCUAAGGUAGCGAAGUCCCUUGUCGGGUAAGUUCCGACCCGCACGAAUGGCGUAAUGACUUCAGCACUGUCUCAACGAUGGACUCGGUGAAAUUGCAGGACCGGUAAAGAUGCCGGUUACGCGCAGCAGGACAAAAAGACCCCGUGGAGCUUUACUGCAACUUGGCAUUGGUUCGAGUUUUAAAAUGUGUAGGAUAGGCGGGAGACUUUGAACUCUAGGCGUUAGCCUAGGGGGAGUCGCCCUUGAAAUACCGCCCUUUUUAUGAUUUGGACCUAACACUUUUGGACAGUGUCUGGUGGGCAGUUUGACUGGGGCGGUCGCCUCCCAAAGAGUAACGGAGGCG